rnacentral:lncRNA from 1 species
AAAUUCACGGAAUUACAUAAAUAAUCAAGUAACAAUCACAUCAAAUUGUCAUAUAAUAACAGAUUCAACAACAACAAGGAUUUAGGCACGAUAAAUAGAUGAUUAAAUAUAUACCAACAAUUAUCCAAUUUACCACACAAUAUGCUCAAGACUUUAACUCAAUAAAAUUUAUACAUAGAAUCCGAGUACGUACUCGUCACCUAGCGUACACGGCUUUUUACAUUUCAUAAAUGGCACAUAAGACUCGAUGCCUAAGGGGUAAUUCCCCCACUCGAGGUUAAGCAAGACACUUACCUUUUUGAAGUUAUGCCGAUAUUCCAAAAUUGCCUUCUUGCUUGAAUUGACCUCCAGACCGCUCAAAUCUAUCCAAAUUCAUUGCAUAACUUCAUUAAAAUUCAUCGAAAAUAAUUCCGGAUAAUAAUACGUCGACUUAAAAUUUUAUUCCAAAAAGUCAACAAAAGUCGAUGCGGGACCCGCCUCUCAGAACCCGACAUAAUUUUACGAAAUCCGAACACCCAUUCCGAUACGAGUUCAACCAUACUAAUUUUAUCGAAUUCCAAUAACAACUCUGACCUUCAAAUCUUAAAUUUUUAUUUUUAGAAGAUUUUGCAAAAAUCUUGAUUUUCUCCAUUUAAAUUCGAAUUAAAUGAUGAAUAAUCAUGGAUUCAUGAAAUAUAAACACUUUAGGAUAUAGAACACUUACCCAAGUCAAAGUCGUGAAGAACUCCUCCAAAAUCGCCCAAAAAUCGAGUUCCAAAAUCUCAAUCGAAAAUGACAAAGUGACUGAUUUUUGGUCCUUAUGUUACUGCCCAGUUUCGUACCUGCGGUACUGUUCACACUCCUGCGAAAAAAAUAGCAGCUACCCAGAAAUUCCAGCAGCUUUUCUUCAAGUCCGAAUUGAUCCGUUAACCUUCCGAAAUCCACCCGAAGCCCUCGGAACCUAAACCAAAUAUACCAACACGUCCCAAAGUACAAUACAAACUUAGUCGAGGCUUCAAACCACGUCAAAUAACGCCGAAAUUACGAAUCGCGGAUCGAAUCGAAUUAUAAGUUUUCAAAUCUUUCAACUUCUAUAUUUUGCGCCGAAACGUAUCAAAUCAAUCCGGAAUGACUUCAAAUUUUACACACAAGUCAUAAUUAACUUAAUGGAGCUAUUCCCAUUUCCGGAAUCGAAAUCCGACCUCGUUAUAAAAAAUUCACCAUUCGGUCGGACUUUUUCAAAAUCUUAUAUUUUUCAAUUUUCGCCAAAAUGUGUCGAAUUGUCCUACGGACUUCCAAAUCCAAAUUUGAACAUACGCCUAAGUCCGAAAUCAUCAUACGAAACU